AUUGAACGCUGGCGGCAGGCCUAACACAUGCAAGUCGAACGAGUGGCGGACGGGUGGGUUAGGUCUGGGACUCUGCGCGAUGGAGGGGGAUAACUACUGGAAACGGUAGCUAAUACCGCAUAUCAUCGGAUGUGCCCAGGUGGGAUUAGCUAGGAGGUGGGGUAACGGCUCACCUAGGCGACGAUCCCUAUCUGGUCUGAGAGGAUGACCAGCCACACUGGAACUGAGACACGGUCCAGACUCCUACGGGAGGCAGCAGUGGGGAAUAUUGGACAAUGGGCGCAAGCCUGAUGCAGCCAUGCCGCGUGUAUGAAGAAGGUCUUCGGGUUGUAAAGUACUUUAAGCUGGGAGGCGUUACCCGCAGAAGAAGCACCGGCUAACUCCGUGCCAGCAGCCGCGGUAAUAC
rnacentral:rRNA from 1 species